UGGGGAAUUUUGGACAAUGGGCGAAAGCCUGAUCCAGCAAUGCCGCGUGUGUGAAGAAGGCCUUCGGGUUGUAAAGCACUUUUGUCCGGAAAGAAAUCCUUGGCUCUAAUACAGUCGGGGGAUGACGGUACCGGAAGAAUAAGCACCGGCUAACUACGUGCCAGCAGCCGCGGUAAUACGUAGGGUGCAAGCGUUAAUCGGAAUUACUGGGCGUAAAGCGUGCGCAGGCGGUUUGCUAAGACCGAUGUGAAAUCCCCGGGCUCAACCUGGGAACUGCAUUGGUGACUGGCAGGCUAGAGUAUGGCAGAGGGGGGUAGAAUUCCACGUGUAGCAGUGAAAUGCGUAGAGAUGUGGAGGAAUACCGAUGGCGAAGGCAGCCCCCUGGGCCAAUACUGACGCUCAUGCACGAAAGCGUGGGGAGCAAAACAGGAUUAGAUACCCUGGUAGUCCACGCCCUAAAACGAUGUCAACUAGUUGUUGGGGAUUCAUUUCCUUAGUAACGUAGCUAACGCGUGAAGUUGACCGCCUGGGGAGUACGGUCGCAAGAUUAAAACUUAAAGGAAUUGAC
rnacentral:rRNA from 1 species